GGGCGGGGUCGCCGGAAGCCACACCCCUCUGGAAAAAAAAUUGGUCUGGUGACUAGCAAGGACCACUACGGGGAGAAAAGGAUUCCAGGUCAUUCACACGCGCUGUCACCAGCCGGAACAGGAUGAUCUCUUUCUAGGUAUUGGUAUUCUAAUUAUUUAAGAGAAUCCUCUUAUUCAAGGAGAUCUCUCUCCGCCCGGUGCCGAGAUUCCUUCGCGGCCACAUGUUUGAGCUGACAGAGGAUCCUUUCCACUCGGGAAAAUCCACACGUGCCAUCUGCCUUGGAUACAGCCGCCUCUGCCUUUCAUAAUCCCAACAUAUAAAUUCCCAACCGACCAAUGUUGAUCCAUACGUAGGGACAUCUCUACACCCCUCGUUCAGCAGGAAGAAGCCGUUGAAGAUGAGACUUCCACUCAAACGCCAAGGAUUUGUCAUUGCCGACCUGUCGGGGUGGGGGGAUGAUCAGGGCCACUUUUAGGCAACAGGCUUGAGCAGUGGAAACCUGAAUGAGGUAAAUUAGCCCCCCCCCCCCCCCCCAUGAAGUAGGCUCAUUAGGCAACUCUUCUUAAAAUUGCCACAGGCCUUAACUAACCAAUGGGCCAUUUACACAGUUACCAAAAAAAAAAAAAAAAAGUUCC